UAUACAAAUUAAUUAGAACCACUCUAAAAAUAACUUUAUUUUUCUCCUCAACUAUUCUCUUUUGGCUUAAAUGGGUCAACAUCCUGCCCUGUGACAGGAGAUCAUGUUGAGCCAAGUCAUGUUCGAAAUGGCGUGAGGCUGGGUGAGUCGAAUCAUGUUCGAAAUGGCGUGAGGCUGAUUGGAUCGAGUCACAAUCGAGACCCGUGGGCGCUGUAUCUGUACAUUUUAAGUGAAUUGAUUGUAUAUUUCUAACAGUUUGAACUUUUGGAAUUAAUGGUGCGCACCAACGAUUCGGCAUUCUCGAGUAUAGAAUAGUGGUAUGUGAACUGAAAACUUAGGUUUUCUCCAAAAAAAUAAAAAAAAUAAAAAAAUUGAUGAAUAUUUAAAUUUUUAAAGAAAAAAAAAAUGCUGUGGAUAAUUUUA
rnacentral:lncRNA from 1 species